AUCGGACGUUUAAAAAGUUUGCGAAUUGUCUUUGCGCGAGUGUUUUGUUUUUUCUUUUUCUUUUUUAACGUCUGUUGCUGUUACUGACUGUGUUUUUAAGUGCCAGUGUUUGUGACUUUAAUAUAAGCGUGUCAUUAACUGCCCACUCGCAUGAAGAAAAUGGUAGAAGUGUGCUAUGAAAGAAAAUUGAACAAUAGUUUGAGCAAAUCGAAACCUUACAUACUGACUGUUAUGCAGGUUAUGUGACAGUGACUUUAUAUUAUAAAAUUAACGCCAUCUACUGAAUAAACUCAGAACGAGGCGUAUUAUAAGACUGAAAGUUCUCUAGUCAACAUUAGCGACAUCUAUUUUUAAGUUCCAGUACUUAAAACUACGCCAUCUACUGCGAAGAAGAAUAAUUACUAACCGAAACUGAACUAUACUUGUCGCUGAGUUUUAGAAGUGAAUUCACAGCAAUUAUACAUCACAAUCAGGAAAAUACAUUGAAGAACUAACUGAAAUCACGACUAUGAACAGUUAACGCUAUCUAACGAAAUCUUAGUAAUAGCUCGAGGUUUAUUAUAAUCGCGAAUACGGUUAAACAACGUUUAGUUUCGCCCGGCCGAUGAUAUAAGAGUUUAACUGUACUGGUACUAAAAAUACAGUUCUCCAUGUGGUGGCAAAAUCAUCUUCAGAAGAGACCCGAACCAUCCGCCAACACCAAGAGAUAUACAGUUGCCCAGCAAACAUCAUCCACCAGAACAUUCGGGCAACUGGUCAGAUAGCAUUCACGCAACCCAUAAAUAAGCACCAUCUCUUGGCAUACUAAGAAUACUCCAUUUAAUGUCAGCGCCAUCUGGCGUUAAAACUGAGAACUAGGAAUUAACAGCACUACAAUUCAAAUAGUUGCGUAUGAAUUUACGCCAACCAUUAAGAAUUCAAUGAUAUAUAUCACUAUCGUGAAUGUACAUGAAGGGUCUGAGGAUUAGACUUAUUCAUAAAAAGGCAGCGACAUCUUUUAGUAAUCCGAUCAAACCACUCAAGAAGUGUCUCCAUCUAUCAAGAACUUCGUGAAGACAUCACUUACUC